rnacentral:rRNA from 1 species
GAGCCAGACUCCUACGGGAGGCAGCAGUGGGGAAUAUUGCACAAUGGGCGCAAGCCUGAUGCAGCCAUGCCGCGUGUAUGAAGAAGGCCUUCGGGUUGUAAAGUACUUUCAGUCGGGAGGAAGGUGUCAAGGUUAAUAACCUUGGCAAUUGACGUUACCGACAGAAGAAGCACCGGCUAACUCCGUGCCAGCAGCCGCGGUAAUACGGAGGGUGCAAGCGUUAAUCGGAAUUACUGGGCGUAAAGCGCACGCAGGCGGUCUGUCAAGUCGGAUGUGAAAUCCCCGGGCUCAACCUGGGAACUGCAUUCGAAACUGGCAGGCUGGAGUCUUGUAGAGGGGGGUAGAAUUCCAGGUGUAGCGGUGAAAUGCGUAGAGAUCUGGAGGAAGACCGGUGGCGAAGGCGGCCCCCUGGACAAAGACUGACGCUCAGGUGCGAAAGCGUGGGGAGCAAACAGGAUUAGAUACCCUUGUAUG